rnacentral:rRNA from 1 species
GAUGAACGCUGGCGGCGUGCCUAAUACAUGCAAGUCGAGCGAACAGACGAGGAGCUUGCUCCUCUGACGUUAACGGCGGACGGGUGAGUAACACGUGGAUAACCUACCUAUAAGACUGGGAUAACUUCGGGAAACCGGAGCUAAUACCGGAUAAUAUAUUGAACCGCAUGGCUCAAUAGUGAAAGACGGUUUUGCUGUCACUUAUAGAUGGAUCCGCGCCGCAUUAGCUAGUUGGUAAGGUAACGGCUUACCAAGGCAACGAUGCGUAGCCGACCUGAGAGGGUGAUCGGCCACACUGGAACUGAGACACGGUCCAGACUCCUACGGGAGGCAGCAGUAGGGAAUCUUCCGCAAUGGGCGAAAGCUUGACGGAGCAACGCCGCGUGAGUGAUGAAGGUCUUCGGAUCGUAAAACUCUGUUAUUAGGGAAGAACAAAUGUGUAAGUAACUAUGCACGUCUUGACGGUACCUAAUCAGAAAGCCACGGCUAACUACGUG